UUAAUUUAAUUCUGGUUAGUUUUUAGCUUUAAGGAUGAUAUAUUGCAUGUGAAUUUUUGUGGGAUUGUUUAUUAAUUAUCUAAAUGGUAAUUAAUAAUUAUUAGUGAUUUAUUCGCAGUUUUUGAUUUUAAAUAUAUAAAAUGUUUUUUGAUUUAUUUAAUUCUUAUAUAUAACUAGUUAAAAUUGUGCCAGCAACUGCGGUUAUACAAUUAGUUAGAGUUAAUUUUUUUGAUAUAAUAUAUUUAAUACAAAUUAUAUUUAUAUUAUUGGUUACUUAUUUUGUUUUGAUAUUAGGUGAAAUUUUAUUAAAUAUUAUUAAUGUAGCUGGUUUUUGUUUAAUUAUAUGAAAUUCUUGGUUUAGACUAGGAUUAGAUACCCUAUUAUUGAGAAUGUAAAUUUAUAUUAUUAUAUUAUUAAUAGUUUAUGAUCUUUAAAAGUAAAAGGAUUUGACGGUAAUUAUAUCUUUUCAGAGGAACCUGUCCUGUAAUUGAUAAUCCACGUUAAAUUUUACCUUAGUUUUAUGGUUUGUAUAUCUCUGUUUUUAGAAUGUUCUAUUAGGAAAAUUAUUCAUGUUAUUUUCUUACAUUUAUAUAAGUAAAUUUAUAUCAGGUCAAGGUGCAGCUAUAUUAAGGUUUAAGAUGGGUUACAUUAAUUUAUAAAUUUUGGAAUUAGUUUUAUAUGUAUUUAUUUAAUGAAAUAGGAUUUGAUUGUAAUAUUUUAUUAUAUAUUAUUUGUGAUAUUAGCUCUUUAUUAAGUACACAUCGCCCGUCGCUCUCAUUAUUAAAAUGAGAUAAGUCGUAACAAAGUAGGUCUAUCGGAAGGUGGACCUGGAAUUAUUAA
rnacentral:ncRNA from 1 species